GUUCCAGACUAAAGUUCUUGCCCUGCUCAGUCCAUAGAUAUGAACGUUAUCCUUCUUCAUUUCAAAACAAAGAUAGAAUAAAGGAAGAUACUGGAUACUUCCUGAAGAGGACACUGCUAAAUGGAGAACUUUAGAGUGUUCAAAGACAUGAAGUUGGGAAUCAAUCCUCAUCUAGUGUGGAACAACUGAAAAUCAAGCCAUGCAAAAGGAGUCCAAGACAAUCCUCUUUCCAGAUAUAACAAAAUUGAAACAACCAGAACUGAGAGAAUUUUUCAACCUUAAU